UUUUUUUUUUUUUUUACAAAUGAGCUAAGAUCACACGUAAUGAAAGAGGCUGAAGAUCUUAUUCAAUAUUAAGAUAAUAAAAUGGUGAUUUACUGAUCGAUGAUGAUGUGAGGGUACAAGUGGGAUUAUUUAAUAAGGAUAAAAAUAUGUUUGAAAAACGUAAAAGGUCAAAGACAUUUGGUUAAAAAUUAAGCUGGCAAGCUGCAGAGGUCGGAUAUCACAUGUGCAAAUCUCACUCAUCGCCUAGCUGUCGUUCAUAUUUUCACAUUUUUGACCUAAUCAAUUUCAUGUAUUUAUUGAACAAACCAACCAAUAUUCCAUUUACUAUUUUUUCACCCUUUAAUAUGUGAGGAUUAGGUGUAAAUACUAUGUUUCGAGAGUUAAAUUGAACUUAUGAUUUUGUCAAUAAUAGAACUCGAUUUUCUUAUGUCGAUC
rnacentral:lncRNA from 1 species